rnacentral:rRNA from 1 species
CAGUAGCCAGGUAAAACAGAGGGUGCGAGCGUUAAUCGGAUUUACUGGGCGUAAAGCGUGCGUAGGCGGCUUUUUAAGUCGGAUGUGAAAUCCCUGAGCUUAACUUAGGAAUUGCAUUCGAUACUGGGAAGCUAGAGUAUGGGAGAGGAUGGUAGAAUUCCAGGUGUAGCGGUGAAAUGCGUAGAGAUCUGGAGGAAUACCGAUGGCGAAGGCAGCCAUCUGGCCUAAUACUGACGCUGAGGUACGAAAGCAUGGGGAGCAAACAGGAUUAGAUACCCCAGUAGUCCCUGUCUCUUAUACA